UAGAAUGAAGCUCGCUGGAUGGAGCUUUUAGCUGUUAACUGAAUUGUUGCGGGAUCAAGGCCUGUCGUUCUAG
rnacentral:tRNA from 1 species